UGAGGAAUAUUGCGCAAUGGCCGAAAGGCUGACGCAGCGACGCCGCGUGGGGGGUGACGGCCUUCGGGUUGUAAACCCUUGUCAGUGGGGAAGAAAAAAAUGACUGUACCCACAGAGGAAGCCCCGGCUAACUACGUGCCAGCAGCCGCGGUAAGACGUAGGGGGCGAGCGUUGUUCGGAAUUACUGGGCGUAAAGAGCUCGUAGGCUGGAAAUUAAGUCUUUGAACAAAUCCCCCGGCUCAACCGGGAACCGUUCAGGGAUACUGAUUUUCUUGAGAACAGGAGAGGGGAAUGGAAUUCCUAGUGUAGCGGUGAAAUGCGUAGAUAUUAGGGGGAACACCAGUGGCGAAGGCGGUUCUCUGGCCUGUUUCUGACGCUGAGGGGCGAAAGCUGGGGGAGCGAACGG
rnacentral:rRNA from 1 species